UGGCGGACGGGUGAGUAACGCGUGGGUAACCUGCCCUGUACAGGGGGACAACAGCUGGAAACGGCUGCUAAUACCGCAUAAGCCUACGGUACCGCAUGGUACAGCAGGAAAAACUCCGGUGGUACAGGAUGGGCCCGCGUCUGAUUAGUUAGUUGGCAGGGUAACGGCCUACCAAGACAACGAUCAGUAGCCGGCUUGAGAGAGUGGACGGCCACAUUGGGACUGAGACACGGCCCAAACUCCUACGGGAGGCAGCAG
rnacentral:rRNA from 1 species